rnacentral:rRNA from 1 species
AGAGUUUGAUCCUGGCUCAGGAUGAACGCUGGCGGCGUGCUUAACACAUGCAAGUCGAACGCACCUUCGGGUGAGUGGCGGACGGGUGAGUAACGCGUGGGAAUCUGCCCUCAGGAGGGGGAUAACGGCUGGAAACGGCCGCUAAUACCCCAUAUGCCGAGAGGUGAAAUGAAUUUCGCCUGAGGAUGAGCCCGCGUCUGAUUAGCUAGUUGGUGGGGUAAUGGCCCACCAAGGCGACGAUCAGUAGCUGGUCUGAGAGGAUGAUCAGCCACACUGGGACUGAGACACGGCCCAGACUCCUACGGGAGGCAGCAGUGGGGAAUUUUCCGCAAUGGGCGAAAGCCUGACGGAGCAACGCCGCGUGAGGGAUGAAGGCCUCUGGGCUGUAAACCUCUUUUCUCAAGGAAGAAGACAUGACGGUACUUGAGGAAUAAGCCACGGCUAAUUCCGUGCCAGCAGCCGCGGUAAUACGGGAGUGGCAAGCGUUAUCCGGAAUUAUUGGGCGUAAAGCGUCCGCAGGCGGCCUUGUAAGUCUGUCGUUAAAGCGUGGAGCUUAACUCCAUUUAAGCGAUGGAAACUACAAGGCUUGAGUGUGGUAGGGGCAGAGGGAAUUCCCGGUGUAGCGGUGAAAUGCGUAGAUAUCGGGAAGAUCACCAGUGGCGAAGGCGCUCUGCUGGGCCAUAACUGACGCUCAUGGACGAAAGCCAGGGGAGCGAAAGGGAUUAGAUACCCCUGUAGUCCUGGCCGUAAACGAUGAACACUAGGUGUCGGGGGAAUCGACCCCCUCGGUGUCGUAGCUAACGCGUUAAGUGUUCCGCCUGGGGAGUACGCACGCAAGUGUGAAACUCAAAGGAAUUGACGGGGGCCCGCACAAGCGGUGGAGUAUGUGGUUUAAUUCGAUGCAACGCGAAGAACCUUACCAGGGUUUGACAUCCUGCGAAUCCCUUGGAAACUUGGGAGUGCCUUCGGGAGCGCAGAGACAGGUGGUGCAUGGCUGUCGUCAGCUCGUGUCGUGAGAUGUUGGGUUAAGUCCCGCAACGAGCGCAACCUACGUCUUUAGUUGCCAGCAUUCAGUUGGGCACUCUAGAGAGACCGCCGGUGAUAAACCGGAGGAAGGUGUGGAUGACGUCAAGUCAUCAUGCCCCUUACAUCCUGGGCUACACACGUACUACAAUGCUACGGACAAAGGGCAGCAAGCUCGCGAGAGUUAGCAAAUCCCAUAAACCGUGGCUCAGUUCAGAUCGUAGGCUGCAACUCGCCUACGUGAAGGAGGAAUCGCUAGUAAUCGCAGGUCAGCAUACUGCGGUGAAUACGUUCCCGGGCCUUGUACACACCGCCCGUCACACCAUGGAAGUUGGCCAUGCCCGAAGUCGUUACUCCAACCCUUGUGGAGGAGGACGCCGAAGGUGGGGCUGAUGACUGGGGUGAAGUCGUAACAAGGUA